rnacentral:rRNA from 1 species
GGCGGCAGGCCUACACAUGCAAGUCGAACGAAGAGGCCCCUUCGGGGGUACUUCAGUGGCGCACGGGUGAGGAACGCGUGGGAACCUACCCUUCGGUACGGAAUAACUACGGGAAACUGUAGCUAAUACCGUAUACGCCCUAUGGGGGAAAGAUUCAUCGCCGAUGGAUGGUCCCGCGCCCGAUUAGCUUGUUGGUGAGGUAACGGCUCACCAAGGCUACGAUCGGUAGCUGGUCUGAGAGGAUGAUCAGCCACACUGGAACUGAGACACGGUCCAGACUCCUGCGGGAGGCAGCAGUGGGGAAUAUUGGACAAUGGGCGCAAGCCUGAUCCAGCCAUGCCGCGUGAGUGAAGAAGGCUUUAGGGUUGUAAAGCUCUUUCAGCAGGGAAGAUGAUGACGGUA